AGAAUAUCUCUACAUAAAACGUAAGGCUUUUGUUUUAAUCCUUAUUCGUGAGAUUGCCUUCUUAUGCGAUAGAUAUAUUAUUAAAACACUAUCAACUUCCAUUCUCUAUUUGAUUUCCUCACUUAAUAUACAUAUUUCGAUCAAAUUGGAAAGCUUGUGCUAUUGCAGUAGGGCGCGUAACAUUCUCGAAUCACAAGGUAGCUGAUUUUUCUUAAUUAUAUAUGUUUAUUCAAUCUUUCUACACAUAUAUUUACUCCACUCCAUUUUGUAGUGACUCCAAUUUAAUUAAUUUUUUCAGUACUAUUCAUUAGAGUGAUUGGGCAUAUUUGGAGCACAAAGUAGGUACUUCCAAUGCAUUUUUAUGCCUCUGGACAUUUAAUCACAAUUUUUUUCCUUCUCACCCAUAAUCAAUAAAUUUGCUCAAUAAAAAAAAAUUAAUAAUAAUAAUAAUAACAGUAAGUACAAAAAUCCAUAAAUCCAAACAUACAAUCUGAAUAUGAAUAAAAGGUAAAAAAUAACGGAAACAUGCAUAAUAACGGAUUGUGAAAUAUCAACUUAGCUCAUGUAAAUCUAUAAAUAAAAAAUUUCUAGUUUAAUUUUCUUUUAGUAUUAUUUUUAUAGAGUAUGAAGGUAAAAUUUGACUCUAUUUAGAAUAAUAACUUAUCUGUUUGAGCCCUAUUUUUUCAAAACUCAUUUUCAAC
rnacentral:lncRNA from 1 species